rnacentral:rRNA from 1 species
UACGAAGGGUGCAAGCGUUACUCGGAAUUCCUGGGCGUAAAGCGUGCGUAGGUGGUGAGUUAAGUCUGUCGUGAAAGCCCCGGGCUCAACCUGGGAAUGGCGAUGGAUACUGGCUCGCUAGAGUGCGGUAGAGGAGAGUGGAAUUCCCGGUGUAGCAGUGAAAUGCGUAGAGAUCGGGAGGAACAUCAGUUGCGAAGGCGGCUCUCUGGACCAGCACUGACACUGAGGCACGAAAGCGUGGGGAGCAAACAGG